rnacentral:rRNA from 1 species
GACGAACUCUGGCGGCGUGCCUAAUACAUGCAAGUCGAACGCAUUUUCUUUCCCCUUAUCUUGCUCCCCCGAGAGAAAAUGGGUAGCAAACGGGUGGUUACCACGUCGGUACCCUGCGCAUCCUCGAGGGAUAACACUUGAAAACCGGUGCUAAUACCGCAUAAUUCGAUUUACCGCAUGGUAGUUCGAUGAAUGGCGCUUUUGCCUCGCUUGUUCAUCUUGUCGCGGUGCAUGAGCUAGUUGGUGGGGUAACCGGCUACCAAGGCUGCGAUGCAUAGCCGACCUGAGAGGAUGAGCAGCCACACUGAGACUGAGACACGGCCCAGACUCAUAGGGGAGGAAGCAGUAGGGAAACGGGGGCAAGGGAUGCAAGUCAGACCGAGAAAGGCCGAGGGAGUGAAGAAGGUUUUCGGAUCGUAAAACUCGGUUGUUAGAGAAGAACAAGGAUGAGAGUGGAAAGUACAGCGCGUGACGGUAACUAACCAGAAAGCCACGGCUAACUACGUG